GGGAGCCUGGUCUCAGGGGGAGGACCGAGAGACACCUCAGGUCACCAGGCAACAUGAUUGGAUUCCCCAUCCCCCAGCCCAGCCCAGGAGCAAGGAGGUCGUGAGGAGGUGGAGGAAGGUUCAGAUCCCUGCCCAGAAGAGGAGUGGAGAGCGGCAGCCAAGCUGGAGAGCCUCCAGCCUGACCACCUUUCCCCACGAGCACUGCAAGUUUUGAAAAGGUCGGAGCCGCAUCGCAGUCAACAAAGGGUGUUCAGAAGUGCUGCGGAGGAAAAGCGGCUGCGGCAAGAGCAGCAGCAGCAGCGGCUCCCCUGCGCUAGAUGCUGGUACCGCAACGGAGGGGAAGGUGCUGGGAAUGCUGAAGGCAGCAGCGGAGCUCUGAGCAAAGGGGCUGGGAAGCUCUCCCGCUUUCCACCCCUGAAUGGAAAAUAAAGAGCACAGCCAGACU